rnacentral:lncRNA from 1 species
AUAUAUAUAUAAAAUAACGAGUCAUUUUGGAACUGAAAUAAAUAUUUAUUUUCGUUGACUAGAAAGAAUAUACAUGUUCUGUCGUACAAAAGUGAAGCAGAAAGUACUCUCUCUGCAAUAUAUAUUUUAUGAUCUCUUAAUAAUGAAAUUUUGAUGCCUUUCGAAGCAUUAUGAUAGUGGGAGGUUAAUAUCGUGUCUCAAUCUACUAUAUAUGCAUAGAUAUAAUUAUGUGCUUUUGCAUUACAGGAUAUGCUCAAUAGGAUAUAGUUGAAGCUAUACCUUCUUGUGGCCAAGCUCCUGUGGUAAAAGGUGAAAGAUAUGACAUCUUUAUGUCCGAAAAUAAUUUGAGUUAGACCACAAUCAUAGACAUGUUCGUUCUUCAAUAAGCAUUAUCAUUAUUUUAUAGCUUGCAUGCCUCAAUUUGCUUUAUAUUAUAAUUGCUUGAACAAAACACUCAAUAGUGAAAGUGGACUGCUACAAAUAGAAAGGUUUACAAUUUAAGUCAUAAAGACAUUGCACAACUCUUUGCUCCUUGACUUGCUGCUUUACGAAACCAUAUUCAAUUAAUUCUAUAGUUUUGAAGAUAUUUUAAUGAUGGAGCUUCAUUUUUUUAAGUAUCCAACGCCAAACAUUGUUUAGAGGUGAUCGACUUUGACUAGAUCUCUUUCUGUAAUUGUUUUUUUGCAUUACUUUUUUCUGAAAUUAUGCAUUGUUCAAACAGUGGAGAAGCAAGCUUGAAUGUCAAUUAUCUUCAUUUUAUUAAGUCUCCAACGUCACAUAGAGGUAAUCAAAUUGCUUUUUUCUGAAAUUAUAUUGUUCAAAUAAUGAAAAAGCAAUCUUGGAUGUCAGAUAAAGAAUUUGAAAGAAACACACUAGAUUAAAUCCUAUGUGCAUUGUGAAAAUUUUAAAUUAAGCGCUAACAGAUCUAUAAUUUGGUUCAACAUAUAGGUGGAGAGGCUCAAAUUGUUCAUUUUGACUAAGUUUGAGAUCUACUGAGUCUAAUAUCAACAAGUCUGUGGCCUUCAUAUUGAAAACCUGAUAAAAGGUACACAUUCCGAAAUUGGAUUGAGUAUUGAUCAAGUAGGUUCUAUUGGCCAAUUAUUUAGAGAAAUGUAUGAAAAUUCUUAGAGUUUUGCUCAAUUCCAUUAACUGGAUAUGAUACUACAAAAUUAAAAUAAACCAACAACUUCUUUUAGAUUGAAAAAAAGGUUUUCACAUCUUAAUACUACCAAUUUUUUUUAGAAAAGGUUUUCACAUUAUCAUUUAGUAUUUUUUUAAUUGUUGAAAUUACUGUACUAUCAACAACAAACUGCUACGAGGUAAUUUUUAAAGCAUUCUUUGGAACAAAUAUAAAGUUGACACAAAAAAUCAUCGAUAUUCAACUGUAUAUUCUUACGCCAUUCAUAAUUUCUUAUCUUGGUACUCUGUUCUUUGAGAUCUAAAUUGAAAGUUCUUCAACAAGUUGCAAUUGUAAUGGUCUCUUUAAAUUUUAUUGAUCAUAAAAACUAUUCUAUUAAGACACAUGAUACAAUUUUAUCAAUUAAGAAAUUUGGUGUGCAUUUGGUCAGUAAUUACCAUUCUUAUCUCUCUAUAUCUUUAUUUAUUUUCAACUUGAAAGUACAUAUGAUGAGUUCAGAAAGUUAUGUAUUGUUGAAACUGUGACUAAUAAAGAAGAAGCUCAUUUAAUCAGAAUUUUCUCAAUUCAGGUAAUAUCUAAUGCUCUUUUUAUUGAUACUGGCUUCUUUGAAUAUACUAUCUUGGCAAAAUAUUUUAAAUUUUUUUAAUUAUUCCCAACAUUGUUCCAUGUGCCUUAACAUUUAUAACUUUGAAAGUUGCUUUUGUUGAUCUGCUAAUGGCAGCUGAAAGCGCUGCGCAAAAUCUAUUUUCCUUGCUAUAGAUUUAUCCAAAAAAAAGCAAAUGACUAAUGUGAGAGAGAAUAUUUGGAAGUUGCUGUUAAAGCUAGUUAAUGAUUAAAGCUAGCUAAGUUGGUGUGAAUGAGAAAUGGAGGGAAGAAGACAAUAGAAGGAAAAUGAAGUUUCAAAGCAAAN